rnacentral:rRNA from 1 species
AUGAACGCUGGCGGCGUGCCUAAUACAUGCAAGUCGAGCGAACGGACGAGAAGCUUGCUUCUCUGAUGUUAGCGGCGGACGGGUGAGUAACACGUGGAUAACCUACCUAUAAGACUGGGAUAACUUCGGGAAACCGGAGCUAAUACCGGAUAAUAUUUUGAACCGCAUGGUUCAAAAGUAAAAGACGGUCUUGCUGUCACUUAUAGAUGGAUCCGCGCUGCAUUAGCUAGUUGGUAAGGUAACGGCUUACCAAGGCAACGAUGCAUAGCCGACCUGAGAGGGUGAUCGGCCACACUGGAACUGAGACACGGUCCAGACUCCUACGGGAGGCAGCAGUAGGGAAUCUUCCGCAAUGGGCGAAAGCCUGACGGAGCAACGCCGCGUGAGUGACGAAGGUCUUCGGAUCGUAAAACUCUGUUAUUAGGGAAGAACAUAUGUGUAAGUAACUGUGCACAUCUUGACGGUACCUAAUCAGAAAGCCACGGCUAACUACGUG